AUGGCGUCUUCAAGUUCCUUCCCAUCCUCGCCAUUCGCACACGCCGCCACCGAGAAGCUCACGAAGGGCAACCAGGCUCUAUGGCGGGCGACGGUGCUCUCGGCCAUCCGAGGAGCACAGAUGGCCAAGUAUCUCGACGUCGAGCAACCGCCACCGCCCAUGCAGAUCGAUGUGGCCUCGUCUGAUGGCAAGACGACGGCGAAAGCGCCGAACCCUGAUUUCCAAACCUGGUAUGCUCAAGACCAACAAGUCUUCUCCUAUCUCCCGACGACACUUCCGCGUGAGAUAGCUAUCCAAGUUGCUUCAUGCCACACCUCUGCUGAGCUCUGGAACACGGUGGAAGGGAUGCUUGCAUCUCACACCCGUUCCCAGACCACCAACGCCCGGAUCGCCCUCGCCAACCUGCAGAAGGGCAAAUCCUCCAUCACCGACUACGUCGGGAAGAUCAAGUCUCUCUGCGAUGAACUGAUCGCCGCAGGGAAGAAGGUGGACGACGACGACAUCGUCUCCCACAUCCUGGCCGGGCUAGAUGAAGAUUUCGACCCGGUGGUGUCUGCCAUGUGUUCCCGGGUGGAGCUGGUGACCGGCCGAGCUGUUCUCACAGCUGCUGAGCUUUGA
rnacentral:rRNA from 1 species